GAUGAACGCUAGCGGCAGGCCUAAUACAUGCAAGUCGAACGCGAUUCUUUUCUUCGGAGAAGAUGAAAGUGGCGCACGGGUGCGUAACGCGUAUGCAACCUACCCUUUACUGGGGGAUAGCCCGGAGAAAUCCGGAUUAAUACCCCAUAGUAUUACAGAUUGGCAUCAUGAAGUAAUUAAAGAUUUAUUGGUAAAGGAUGGGCAUGCGUGACAUUAGUUAGUUGGUAAGGUAACGGCUUACCAAGACUAUGAUGUCUAGGGGUUCUGAGAGGAUGAUCCCCCACACUGGUACUGAGAUACGGACCAG
rnacentral:rRNA from 1 species